GUUUUGGAUCAUACUGGUGAUAGGAUGGCUGGCUUAUUUGUUGUCCCAUUUGUUAUCAUCUUUCUAUAUUUUUAUGAAUUUUCUCCUGUCUCCUUGUCCUGUGUAAAAGAAGGAAGAGCUUUGAUGCAGUUCCAAUACAAUAAGGCUAACAUCAGAUGGAGCAGCAGCAAGAUGGAUUUUGAAGACAGAUGUUGCACUGGAAAACAAAGUCAGGGUUUCUUUUAACUGCAAGACAUUGGUCCUUUGACUUGUGUGAAGCAAUGGGGACAGCUAGUGGACAACUGGCUGAAUCACAGGGAAAUACUUCCCAUGAAAGUCUCAGUGGACACAUCCCUUAUUCUACAUUUCAAAAUUCUUGGACAUGCUGUGCUUUGAAUUUUUAACACCUCACACUGGGCUGGAUCUCCUCAGGCUGUGCCUUUUUGAGUGAAGAGCAGAGCCGUGCAAAUCCGCGGAUAUCUGCGGACCAUUUUUGUGGAUUGCGGACCAGAUGCAGAUACAAAUUUUGUAUUCACACAGGGCUCUAGUCAAGAGACUUCUAACUGAGCAGCCUGUGUUAGGAGCCAAAACUGUUCAGUGAACCCACAAAAGCCUUUAAGCCAUUUAUUUUGACAGUGUCUUUGCUGAUGGAAGCCAUUCAGACAAAUCCCAGUGUAAGUUGGAAGCAUAUGUGAGUUCAGUGUUGGCGUGAAACCUCCAGUGUCACCCUGAAAGAAGAAACUCUGAAGUGUCUUGUGUAGGUGGUUUGUAAAUGUACAGCUGUUGCUUAAAUUGCACAGCAUCUGCAAAGUGAAGCAAAAGCCUGAUUUAAAAAUAGAAAUGUGUGGGCGGUGAAACAAAAAUCUGCCUCUUGUGGAAGGUACCAUACCUCUCUCCGUCACACGACUGCCUCUAUUUGUUGCAGCCUAAGUUUUCUAAUUUUCUGGAAGCUGGGAGUCAGAUGUUCAGUAACCUAGAUCUAAUCCUCAGAACAUCAGGGGUGUCACACAAGCAAAAAAAUACAGAGGCAAAACAUUUUGUUUUUUUGGAAAGACAUGUCCCAGAGAGCUCUCUGCUUUGCUUCAGAGGAGCAGAGAGAAGGGGCUGCAACAUUUUUUUUGCAUAAGUACAA